CAGAGCUGCUGCCUCUCAGUCUGGUCUGUGCUCAUGUCUUUUAGCUCCUGGGUCAAGCUGCUAGAAACAUGGUGAUGCAAGAAGAUGCCAUCCUGCACUCGGAAGAUAGUUUAAGGAAAAUGGCCAUAAUAACCACUCAUCUACAGUACCAGCAAGAAGCAAUUCAGAAGAACGUCGAGCAGUCAUCAAACCUACAGGACCAGCUGAGUCACUUGCUGAAAUGAAGCGUAGCCGAAGGCACGAGGACAUCUCAACUGGCACUGAGGGCAGCAAAGCGUCCUUUCCCCUCCAGACCCCGGGGCUCAGACCUAUGUCUGGAUGGUGCUGGAUGUCAGCGGAGAUAUGUGCAGAGUCUGUGUUUCUGGGCACGUGGGCCCCUCUCGCGUGCCUCCAUCCACGUCUCUGCUCCAGAACGCUCGCCUGCUCGCCAGCGCCUAACUGAAACAAACUUACCUGAAACUUUACUCCCCCCAACAAUUCCUGUGUCCGCUUACUUCCCGUGUAGUGUGAGGUGCUCAGCCCACACCAGCACCUCUGGCAAGAAAUGCAUAAAAUCGAGCCGUGGGUUUUAAAUACAGGUGCCUGCAGUUUGACACUGGUCUGUAUUUAGACACAGAGGUGGCACAGAGUGCAAUUUAUUUAGGGCAUGUUAAUCAGUGGGAGCCGUAAGUGCCUGGGUGGGUGAGAGAGGUGCUUCAGUGUAGACUGAGGUGCCAGUCCCAGGCCAGAAUUUCUGAAAGCGGGAAUCUGGGCACACACCUCUGUCACUGGUCCAGCUGGACAUGGUUUGGCCAGCAUUCCGCUCAGAGGUUAUCUUAUUUUCCACUCUGCCAGAGUUUGGAACGUCAUCCCCUUGCCAACCCAUCUGCACUGCCUUCGGCCUUCAACUGCAUUCCUCUUCCUGGGCUGCUGCUCCAGCUCUUGAUGAAGCAGCCUUGGCUGUGGUGUGUGUUUGUAUCUGGUUGGGAAGGUAUCCAACGGCCCGGCCGGGAAGCAGGCGGGAGAGCAUCACGAGCCGGUGUGCUCAGUUCUGCACUGCUCUGUGUUGGAGGACUAGUGACCGGGCUCCUGUUCACAUCCCAGGGAGCGACGUCAGGCCCAGGCUAUAAAUACUGUGUCUUGUUUUUGGUAAGUCACUUAUCUGGAGCACUUGGAGCGCACGGGGAGCACUUGUUUGCCUGAGUAUGCUUUUCAUCAGCUGAUACGAGAAGGCAGGCUGAGAGCAGGCAUCGGCCUGCCGCGUUCCUGUUGGAGCGCUGCUGGGGUUUGGCUCCUGUGCUGCAGAGCCUUCUGGGCUGGAUCUCACCAUCCCCUCCAGUGCCACUGCCUGUUUGGGCUUCACCUGGUGGCACCACAGCUCCUGCAUCCCCUUGAAGGUGCCACUGUUAGCCCAGGGGCCAUGGGAGGUAUUUUUGCCUUGGGAGGGGUCCUGAUCCCCAGCUUUGCAGAUUUACUUUGGGAAUGAGGGUUUUCCCUGAGCUGCUGGAGAAGCUGCGACUCGCUGUCAAUAAAAGCUGCCCUGAACACC